rnacentral:RNase_P_RNA from 1 species
CAAGAAGUGGGGAUCGUCGCUGGUUAUAUUUUAUAACGAGAGGAAGGUCCGGACACCAUGAAGUGAGCGUAGCGGGUAACGCCCGUCCACUGUGAAGUGAGGACAAGUGCAACAGAAAGCAAGUACGGAAGAGGUAACUUUUCGCAGUAGUGAAACCAGGUAAACUCUACGCGGUGCAAGUCCAUGUAGGUCGGCAAUUUAUGGUCACCUCCCAUAUGUCGACGGGUAGGACGCUUGAAGUAAUUGGCAACUUUUACUCUAGAUGAAUGACGAUCAAAAACAGAAUCCGGCCUAUCCCACUUCUUGACAU